UUUAACUUAAAAUAAGUUAUUUUGAAUAUUGUCAAACAGCUAAAUAAGUCAAAAACCAGCUUUUAAGUCUGUUUGACCAGCUUUUAAGCGGAGCCAAAUAGGCUCUCAGACCUCUUCUUUGUCGUUGACCGGAGACCACACCCCUAAGGCCAGGAGCCGUCGAUCUCCCCUAUUGUCCUUUCUCCUCUCUCUCUCUCUGUCUUUCUCUCUCUUCUCCUCUUUCCUGUUGUGGCAAAUCCAACCGAGACAGCAGCUUUGUCCAGCACAUCUGUCACCAGCAGCGAGAUCUGACGGAGUUUUCAAAGUUUCAAGCUGGUCAAGAGACGGAAAUUUAACAGAUCCUCUAGUUCUGUUGACAAUGUGGUGAUCUACAUAACUGAAAGGAUAUAUAUUAUCGCUGGAGAGAAAAGAAGGUUGAGACUCUCAAGAGUACAUGACACCUAAUUUCGUAAGGAGGAUUCUACCGUACAUCAAAAACCUAAUUCUUUAACAUCAGGUUUAGGUACGCAGAAGUCACAUCAUGCAUAGAUCAGUUUCGUUCUUCAGUCCAGCAAAAUUAAUAGUGAGUCCUCAUUCUCCGAGGACAGGGUCCGAUCAAAGAAGUUAGAUCAUGCAUUUAUCGGAUCUCGAUCUUUGGUUCGACAACACAAAUGGUGAUGUCUCAUUCUUUCAGGACUAGUGACAUGUUUAUUUUGCAACUUUUCCUCUUUAAUUUCAGUUUGGUAGAUCUAGUAGGGGCAUGUCUCAAUAUAGCUAGUUAACUUCAGAGGCUUAUUUCAGACAUAGUUAAAUUUUGCUUAGUAUCUGAGUUUUAGAUUUCUGUUGUAUUAAACUCUUCGAUUUGAUAUAUUUAAAUUUACUAUAUGCGUACGACCCAUAAUUUUAGAUGUAUUUAUGAUUUUCUUUUGGAUAAGUUAUUAUUA